UUGCUGCCAUGACCACGCCGUUGGGUCUGCAACCACACUUCUCCGUUUGAAACCCAACUCGCUGCCGAUGAUGUCAUCGGAGAUUGCUUGUGAGCAAUGAAGACAAGACGAGAAAUGGGGGCGUUUAUGAUGGUUUCGUGCGUGUUGGAUGAAGAUGACGAGAUUGAUUCAAAUGGGUUUGAGAAUGAAAAAUGGUGACGAAGGAAUUUGCGAGAGCAUAGAAGAGAGUAAACAUAUAACAACAAUGCUAAAA